rnacentral:rRNA from 1 species
UACGUAGGGGCCGAGCGUUGUCCGGAGUUAUUGGGCGUAAAGCGCGCGCAGGCGGCCUCGCGCGCCCGACGUGAAAGCCCCCGGCUUAACCGGGGAGGGUCGUUGGGGACGGCGCGGCUCGAGUGCCGGAGGGGAGAGUGGAAUUCCUGGUGUAGCGGUGAAAUGCGUAGAUAUCAGGAGGAAUACCGGUGGCGAAAGCGACUCUCUGGACGGCAACUGACGCUGAGGCACGAAAGCGUGGGGAGCAAACAGG